rnacentral:rRNA from 1 species
GUUUAACGGCCGCGGUAUUUUGACCGUGCAAAGGUAGCAUAAUCAUUAGCUUCGUAAUUGGGGGCUUGUAUGAAUGGGUUUACAAAGUGGGUGCUGUCUCUUGACUCUUUUUUGAAAUUUCUUUUCUAGUGAAGAAGCUAGAUUUUUUUCGUAGGACGAGAAGACCCUAUUGAGCUUUACUUUUAUUUUUUCUUUUUCUAUUUGUUUAUAUUUGCUUUAGGAUUGGGUUUAAGUUUGAUUGGGGCGAUCGAGGAAUAAUUUAACUUCCUUAUUUUUCUUUACUUUUUUGUGUUUUAAAGAUCCGAGUAUUUCGAUUAUUAGAAUAAGUUACCAUAGGGAUAACAGCGUAAUUUUUUUUUAGAGUUCUUAUCGAUAAAAAAGUUUGCGACCUCGAUGUUGGACUAGGAUAUCCUAGCGGGGCAGUUUUUGCUAAGGGUAGGUCUGUUCGACCUUUAAAAUCCU